UACGGAGGGUGCAAGCAUUAAUCGGAUUUAUUGGGCGUAAAGGGCGCGUAGGCGGGGAUGUUAGUCAGAUGUGAAAGCCCAGGGCUCAACCCUGGAACAGCAUUUGAAACUGCAUCUCUGGAGGGUAGGCGGAGAAACGGAAUUCCACGUGUAGCGGUGAAAUGCGUAGAUAUUGGGAGGAACAUCGGUGGCGAAGGCGGCUCUCUGGACCGGUUCUGACGCUGAGGU
rnacentral:rRNA from 1 species